AUGUUUGUUAGGCAUAAAGAGAAAGAUAAUUUUCAUGUGAGGCUGCAAGUUGAUGUGCUUGAGCAGGCAUUUGGACCUAGGAUGGCGGGUGCAACAUCUCGGGGAGAAUCAAGUCGUCGUAAUGGCAUCUCUAGCCAGAACAGUUCAGUUGGUGCACGGCGACGUGGUGGCUCGACAAGUGUGGGCAACAGCAGUAGGGUCCCCCUUGAAGUGGAGCCUGAUGGCUACAAUUCCGGGGUUGAUGAAGAGAAGUUAUAUUCUGAUGUUAUUCAGAAUUUACGACGGGCACCUCGGGCUGAAAACCAAGAUGAGGCUCACAAUGCAGUCCGUGUGGAUGAUGACGCGAUGGGUGAGGACGAAGACCUUGCAGCUGUUGAAUGGGACCCUUUGAACCCUCAAAUGGAAGAAGGUACAGUUUUUUGCAUCCAUGAAUGA
rnacentral:rRNA from 1 species